CUCAGAACGAACGCUGGCGGCAGGCUUAACACAUGCAAGUCGAACGCUGUAGCAAUACAGAGUGGCAGACGGGUGAGUAACGCGUGGGAACGUGCCCUUCGGUUCGGAAUAACUCAGGGAAACUUGAGCUAAUACCGGAUACGUGCGAGAGCAGAAAGAUUUAUCGCCGAAGGAUCGGCCCGCGUCCGAUUAGCUAGUUGGUGAGGUAAUGGCUCACCAAGGCGACGAUCGGUAGCUGGUCUGAGAGGAUGAUCAGCCACAUUGGGACUGAGACACGGCCCAAACUCCUACGGGAGGCAGCAGUGGGGAAUAUUGGACAAUGGGCGCAAGCCUGAUCCAGCCAUGCCGCGUGAGUGAUGAAGGCCCUAGGGUUGUAAAGCUCUUUCGCCAGGGACGAUAAUGACGGUACCUGGAUAAGAAGCCCCGGCUAACUUCGUGCCAGCAGCCGCGGUAAUACGAAGGGGGCUAGCGUUGUUCGGAUUUACUGGGCGUAAAGCGCACGUAGGCGGAUUUUUAAGUCAGGGGUGAAAUCCCGAGGCUCAACCUCGGAACUGCCCUUGAUACUGGAAGUCCCGAGUCCGGGAGAGGUGAGUGGAACUGCGAGUGUAGAGGUGAAAUUCGUAGAUAUUCGCAAGAACACCAGUGGCGAAGGCGGCUCACUGGCCCGGUACUGACGCUGAGGUGCGAAAGCGUGGGGAGCAAACAGGAUUAGAUACCCUGGUAGUCCACGCCGUAAACGAUGGAUGCUAGCCGUUGGGGAGCUUGCUCUUCAGUGGCGCAGCUAACGCUUUAAGCAUCCCGCCUGGGGAGUACGGUCGCAAGAUUAAA
rnacentral:rRNA from 1 species